AUUUUGGAGAGUUUGAUCCUGGCUCAGAGUGAACGCUGGCGGCGUGCUUAACACAUGCAAGUCGAACGAGAACGGAUUUAAGCUUGCUUAAAUUGUCAGCUAAGUGGCGCACGGGUGAGUAAUAUAUAGUUAAUCUGCCCCAAAGAGAGGGAUAACAUUUGGAAACGGAUGCUAAGACCUUAUAUGCCUUUAAGACAAAAGUCUGCAAGGGAAACAUUUAUGGCUUUGGGAUGAGACUGUACGGUAUCAGCUAGUUGGUGAGGUAAUGGCUCACCAAGGCAAUGACACCUAACUGGUUUGAGAGGAUGAUCAGUCACACUGGAACUGAGACACGGUCCAGACUCCUACGGGAGGCAGCAGUGGGGAAUAUUGCACAAUGGAGGAAACUCUGAUGCAGCAACGCCGCGUGGAGGAUGACACAUUUCGGUGCGUAAACUCCUUUUAUAUCCGAAGAUAAUGACGGUAGGAUAUGAAUAAGCGCCGGCUAACUCCGUGCCAGCAGCCGCGGUAAUACGGAGGGCGCAAGCGUUACUCGGAAUCACUGGGCGUAAAGAGCGUGUAGGCGGGUUAAUAAGUCAGAAGUGAAAUCCUAUAGCUCAACUAUAGAACUGCUUUUGAAACUGUUAACCUAGAAUAUGGGAGAGGUAGAUGGAAUUUCUGGUGUAGGGGUAAAAUCCGUAGAGAUCAGAAGGAAUACCGAUUGCGAAGGCGAUCUACUGGAACAUUAUUGACGCUGAGACGCGAAAGCGUGGGGAGCAAACAGGAUUAGAUACCCUGGUAGUCCACGCCCUAAACGAUGCACACUAGUUGUUGCUAUGCUAGACAUAGCAGUAAUGCAGUUAACACAUUAAGUGUGCCGCCUGGGGAGUACGGUCGCAAGAUUAAAACUCAAAGGAAUAGACGGGGACCCGCACAAGCGGUGGAGCAUGUGGUUUAAUUCGACGAUACGCGAAGAACCUUACCUGGACUUGACAUAGUAAGAAGAUUUAAGAGAUUAGAUUGUGUCUGCUUGCAGAAACUUAUAUACAGGUGCUGCACGGCUGUCGUCAGCUCGUGUCGUGAGAUGUUGGGUUAAGUCCCGCAACGAGCGCAACCCUCGUGUUUAGUUGCUAACAGUUCGGCUGAGAACUCUAAACAGACUGCCUGGGUAACCAGGAGGAAG
rnacentral:rRNA from 1 species